CCUACGGGAGGCAGCAGUGGGGAAUAUUGCACAAUGGGCGCAAGCCUGAUGCAGCAACGCCGCGUGAGGGAUGAAGGCCUUCGGGUUGUAAACCUCUUUUAGCAGGGAAGAAGCGAAAGUGACGGUACCUGCA
rnacentral:rRNA from 1 species